UACGGAGGGGGCAAGCGUUAUUCGGAUUUAUUGGGCGUAAAGCGCGCGCAGGCGGUUCAGCAAGUCUGAUGUGAAAUCUCCACAGCUCACCUGGGAGACGCCAUUGGAAACUGCUGAACUUGAGGUCCGGAGAGGUCGGCGGAAUUCCCGGUGUAGCGGUGGAAUGCGUAGAUAUCGGGAAGAACACCAGUGGCGAAGGCGGCCGGCUGGACGGCACCUGACGCUGAGGCGCGAAAGCGUGGGGAGCGAACAGG
rnacentral:rRNA from 1 species